rnacentral:rRNA from 1 species
UACGUAGGGUGCGAGCGUUGUCCGGAAUCACUGGGCGUAAAGGGAGCGUAGGUGGCCUGACAUGUCGACUGUGAAAACCCGGAGCUCAACUCCGGACUUGCAGUUGAAACUGCCAGGCUUGAGGACGGUAGAGGAAGACGGAACUGCCAGUGUAGGGGUAAAAUCCUUAGAUAUUGGCAGGAACGCCGGUGACGAAGGUGGUUUUCUGGGCCAGUUCUGACACUGAUGCUCGAAAGCCAGGGGAGCGAACGGGAUUAGAUACCCGGGUAGUCCCUGAGCGGG